UUUCUGGCUCAGGAUGAACGCUAGCUACAGGCUUAACACAUGCAAGUCGAGGGGCAGCGGGAUUGAAGCUUGCUUCAAUUGCCGGCGACCGGCGCACGGGUGAGUAACGCGUAUCCAACCUUCCGUACACUCAGGGAUAGCCUUUCGAAAGAAAGAUUAAUACCUGAUAGUAUCUUAAGCACACAUGUAAUUAAGAUUAAAGAUUUAUCGGUGUACGAUGGGGAUGCGUUCCAUUAGGUAGUAGGCGGGGUAACGGCCCACCUAGCCAACGAUGGAUAGGGGUUCUGAGAGGAAGGUCCCCCACAUUGGAACUGAGACACGGUCCAAACUCCUACGGGAGGCAGCAGUGAGGAAUAUUGGUCAAUGGACGAGAGUCUGAACCAGCCAAGUAGCGUGAAGGAUGAAGGUCCUACGGAUUGUAAACUUCUUUUAUAAGGGAAUAAACCCUCCCACGUGUGGGAGCUUAUAUGUACCUUAUGAAUAAGCAUCGGCUAACUCCGUGCCAGCAGCCGCGGUAAUACGGAGGAUGCGAGCGUUAUCCGGAUUUAUUGGGUUUAAAGGGAGCGCAGACGGGUCGUUAAGUCAGCUGUGAAAGUUUGGGGCUCAACCUUAAAAUUGCAGUUGAUACUGGCGUCCUUGAGUGCGGUUGAGGUGUGCGGAAUUCGUGGUGUAGCGGUGAAAUGCUUAGAUAUCACGAAGAACUCCGAUUGCGAAGGCAGCACACUAAUCCGUAACUGACGUUCAUGCUCGAAAGUGUGGGUAUCAAACAGGAUUAGAUACCCUGGUAGUCCACACGGUAAACGAUGGAUACUCGCUGUUGGCGAUAUACUGUCAGCGGCUUAGCGAAAGCGUUAAGUAUCCCACCUGGGGAGUACGCC
rnacentral:rRNA from 1 species